AUCGAGUACAAAAAAAAUGCAGCACGUCUUAUUCGAUGGAAUUGAAAUUUUUGGAUGCUCUCUCUCGCUCUCCUUUCUAACUGAAUGCUAAUCGAUGGAAUUGAAGAUUUUGGAUGCAAAAUUACUUUCACAGUUCCACCGUAUCAUCCAAAUGAAUGCCGUCUCCUUUGCGAUUUCACAUCCUUCUAGCUUGAGAAAUUGAAAUUGCAGAAGUCGCUGAAAGCUCGUUAUUUUCCCGGAAAUAUAAGGAAGAAAACAGGUAGUCCUUUGAUGGCUUGACUCUUGGUUAUUUCUGCCUUCGUUGUAAUUUGGAUUGCUUCAUUAUGCAAAAUUUUUCACACAUCAGUUUCAUCUUCUAGGAGUGCUUUCUUAAAUGGUCUUCUUCUCCAACAAUAAACUUCCUCACAUCAAGGGGGCAUAAACUUCAUAUUUUGUGCAUGUCAAUUGGUAAUGCAGAUGGCAUGGGAACCAUGAGAAGAGGCUAUACAAAACUUCCACAGUUCUUAAGGUGUUUGAGCCUAAAACAAAAAGAAGUUUUUGCAUAAAUAUCUGGUUUCCCUCAAUCAAGUGAAGAUCCUGGACCAUUCAGAUUUGCAUGUGUGACUUUAAAAAGUGUCUGGCUGAGUUUGAUUAUGUCAUGUGAAAACUGUAAUCCAAUAUAAUGAUGCUUUCAUGAUGGUUUUGGCAAAGUGUGGGAUCAUAAAUUUCUGGCAGAGGUUAUCGAACACGAAAUAUCAAGCCAUGGGAUUGACUUGGUAAUAUCUUGGAUCUAUUAAACUGGUUACUGAUGCAAUGUUGAAAUCAUACCUACACUCACUUUUGGUUAUCUAUAACUUUUUUGGUUUCUAUCUGACAUGUCUUACUCUUACAUUAUGUUCUUUCCCCCUUUAUAGACUUUUAACAGAUUAUUACUUUCAUAGUAUGGAGUUUCCGGUCACUGUAAUCAUUGUGAUGUGCACAACAGGGUGCGGUAAGCUGGCUUCUAAACUUAUAUUACUUUCAUUCUUCUUACUGCCUCCUUCAACAUUUCUUGUUUUCUCAAAAUCUACUUCCUGAGAUGUAAAUUGCCUCCAUUGUAGCUGGGCUUUCAAGGAAGCAACAUUUAUUGUUGAAAUCUUGUAAUUUAAAUGUUUAUGUUGGUCAAACAAUUUAUCUACACCCAUUUGUAAACAAAAAUUAAUGUCAUGAGGCUCUUGCUCGAGUAGUGAGUACUACAAUAAGGAAUAAUUCAUUACAAGUAAUGAUAUAUAUUUAAAAAUUGAUUGAGUUGUAGACGUCUAUACUGUUUCUUCCGUUCUAUUUAUUAUUGUAUAUCUAUUAUUAAUUAAAAGAGAAUUCUUACUAUGCGCUGUGGUUUAAUCAAUGAUGCAUUGCUUCUCCACUCCAAUAAAAAAAAUCUUUUACCUUUUUGCCAAUGCUGUUAACAGAGGUUUGUUACAGUAAGUUUUCCUUUUUGACACAUGUGAUUCUCAUUUAAUCACGUUUCUAUGAUGGUUAACUCGUGAUAUAUGAUCCCUCACUUGCAGAAUUCCUGUUCUUCCUAAGUUGAGUUUCCAUUAGUGAAUGCUUUGAAGUUUACGGUUCUAUAAUUCUUCAUAUAUUUUAAUUCUUAAUAGCAGAGAAAAUAUCUUUAAAGGACGCUUGAGUAAUUCUUUCUUUUUCUGUGUUGAGGCUGCUGAAUGAGAUGGGAGCCAAGUUAUGGCUCAACGAGUUAUUAAAAUUGCUUAAACUCAUAAAUGACUUUAGGCUUGUUGAUAUGACAUGUUAAGUGAAUUUAACUUGCAAGCUAAGAAGCACGGACACUUUAGUUUGGUUAGCAUGUCAGUGUCCGACACUUGGGGACACUCCGACAUUUGUUGGACACGUAUCGGAUACUUGUUAGUACAACAAAUGUGUUAGACAUGCAUAUAGAUUAAAAGGACACAUACAUUACAAUAAUAAUAAAUUUUGAGUGCGAAAUACAUAAAACUAAGUUUUUUUUAAAAUAUAUAAAUGCAUCGACCUAUUUACUUUUAAAUUUCUUUUGGUAUAAAAAUGAUAUAUAUUUUUUAAAAUACAUUUGCCGUGUCGUUUCCUAGAUUUUUAAAAUAAUGUAUCGCCGUGUCCGUGACGUGUUGUAUCCAUAUCUCGUAACCGUGUUUAAGUUACCAUCUGUCCUGUAAGAUUUGUUCAGCGUACAAAAUUCAAAACCUCUCCUUUCCUGUGCCCAAUGAUUUUUCUACUGGGUUAAAAAGAAAGCCUCUCUAUUUUUUAUUGACAUCUCACACAAAAGUAAACCUGAGCAUUUUCAGGUCAAUUGUAUCCAAGCGACAUUCUCGUAAUCAACUUUUGAGUUUCCUUUCCAAGAGUUUAUGUUUACUUUUCUCUGGUUAUUCUUGGGUCAGUACCAAUAUACUGCGGAAGUAUAGUGGUCCAUUUGAUAUCUGGUUAUCUAUUUUGUUUUACGAAGAGCACACAAGUGGAAUGAUGCAUUGCUUGUUAAAUGAAUGCCCACAACAAAGCUUCCUUGCAAUGGCACAGCACGCAAGCCAAUGGGUUUGGUAUGUUUGUUUUGUGAAUUUUAUUCGAGUCAGAUUAGAAUAUGAACUCUAUUAUCAUAGUUGAGCAUUAUUCGAGAGCUUCCCAUGUUAUACUUAUUUCAUUCUCCCAUUCCCAUUUCAUUCAUAAGGAAAUCUAGCUUUGGUUGGCUGGAAAACACCUUUACCUGUUGCUUUGAUUGCCCUUCUCUUUGAUUUGGCAGGUUUUGGAAAACUCUUUGUUACUUCUUCCAGUUAUACCUUUGUCAACACACUAAAAAGAAUCAACUAGCCAUGCUGUUAUAAUGCCAUAUGAUGUUACAGUAUCCUCCGAUAUCUACUUCACGGGAACUGUGGACUCGGAUUUCUUCAUUUCAUAUGAGGUGGAGACGAAGGGGUUAUUCAUUUGAGACGCAACCGAAGGAGUAAGAGAUGAAGAAAAAGAGAGAGAAAAGAGGGCGUUUCUCAUUACAUUGUAGAACGUUAUGAGUAACCGAUGAAGCAAUUUGAACACUUUGAAUUAACGCUCAUAGCACCUUAUGGAUUCAUAUUUUCUUCAGUACAACCCUCGUAGAGAUGAGGUAUCGAAUCUUCGAGUCGAAGAUCAUGUCCAUUACGACUAAGCUGAUCUCACUUUGGUCUAUGACAUUCAAUAAUUUAGAUCGUAUCC